rnacentral:rRNA from 1 species
AGUGAACGCUGGCGGUAGGCCUAACACAUGCAAGUCGAACGGCAGCACAGUAAGAGCUUGCUCUUACGGGUUGCGAGUGGCGGACGGGUGAGGAAUACAUCGGAAUCUACUUUUUCGUGGGGGAUAACGUAGGGAAACUUACGCUAAUACCGCAUACGACCUACGGGUGAAAGCAGGGGAUCUUCGGACCUUGCGCGAUUGAAUGAGCCGAUGUCGGAUUAGCUAGUUGGCGGGGUAAAGGCCCACCAAGGCGACGAUCCGUAGCUGGUCUGAGAGGAUGAUCAGCCACACUGGAACUGAGACACGGUCCAGACUCCUACGGGAGGCAGCAGUGGGGAAUAUUGGACAAUGGGCGCAAGCCUGAUCCAGCCAUACCGCGUGGGUGAAGAAGGCCUUCGGGUUGUAAAGCCCUUUUGUUGGGAAAGAAAAGCAGCAGGUUAAUACCCCGCUGUUCUGACGGUACCCAAAGAAUAAGCACCGGCUAACUUCGU